CCUGCCACGAGAGGCAUUGCAGAUGUGGCUAAUGUGUCACGUGUGUCAGGAGGUGGCAGAGAGGAGAAAGUCUACAUUAUACUCACUGUUCUGACUUAGGAACGUCUGAAUGAUUAGUAGCCUAACAUU
ensembl:snoRNA Gm24171 small nucleolar RNA SNORA17